UAACACGUGAGUAACCUGCCCUUGACUUUGGGAUAACUUCAGGAAACUGGGGCUAAUACCGGAUAGGAGCUCCUGCUGCAUGGUGGGGGUUGGAAAGUUUCGGCGGUUGGGGAUGGACUCGCGGCUUAUCAGCUUGUUGGUGGGGUAGUGGCUUACCAAGGCUUUGACGGGUAGCCGGCCUGAGAGGGUGACCGGCCACAUUGGGACUGAGAUACGGCCCAGACUCCUAC
rnacentral:rRNA from 1 species